rnacentral:rRNA from 1 species
GACGAACGCUGGCGGCGUGCUUAACACAUGCAAGUCGAACGAUGAAGCCGCUUCGGUGGUGGAUUAGUGGCGAACGGGUGAGUAACACGUGGGCAAUCUGCCCUGCACUCUGGGACAAGCCCUGGAAACGGGGUCUAAUACCGGAUAUGACACGAGGGGGCAUCUUCUCGUGUGGAAAGCUCCGGCGGUGCAGGAUGAGCCCGCGGCCUAUCAGCUUGUUGGUGGGGUGAUGGCCUACCAAGGCGACGACGGGUAGCCGGCCUGAGAGGGCGACCGGCCACACUGGGACUGAGACACGGCCCAGACUCCUACGGGAGGCAGCAGUGGGGAAUAUUGCAUAAUGGGCGCAAGCCUGAUGCAGCAACGCCGCGUGAGGGAUGACGGCCUUCGGGUUGUAAACCUCUUUUAGUAGGGAAGAAGCGAAAGUGACGGUACCUGCAGAAGAAGCACCGGCUAACUACGUGCCAGCCGCCGCCGUAA